AAUUGUGAAUAGUAAAGUGAUU
rnacentral:snRNA from 1 species